GAUCAUAGAUCAAUCAAAAAAAAAGAUGAUGAUGAUGGUAUGUUGUUUUUUUUUACAAAGAACGUUCUGGAUCAUAAUGUUGACCUCAAUGUUAUAUAUUUUUAUGACCUUUGUGUUGUAUAAAGGUAUCAAUCAGCCAGUCUUGAAUACUAUGAUGAUCAUAAUAACAAAUCUUAUAUGCCGCGGUACUUUUCGUCCACCAUUGAUUUUGAUCUUAUGGCCAUGAUCUUUUUCAAAUAACUCACUCAUUCAUUCACUCACUCAGUCACUCACUGGUUAAAUAUCGAAUCAGAUAAUGAUGAUGAUGGUCUUCUUAUCUAAAUGAUGAUUUUAUGCUUAUUAUAUAUCGACCAAACAACAGGAAAAAAAAGACAUGGCUAAAUGGAUAAAAAUUUACUCGAUAUCGAUUUCGGAAUGGAUCGUUUGACAAUGAAUGAUAAUGAUGGUGAUGUCAACAGUUAUAGCUAUCAUUAUAAUGAAGUGGAUAAUGACGUUCUUGUUGCUGCUGCUGCUGCUGCUGAUGAUGAUGAUGAUGAUGAAAAACAAUCGAAUGGAUUAUAAAAGAAAGCAAUUUAAUGGCAACAUUUGCUCUGGUGCCCAUUACAAUCACCGUUAUCAAAUUACGUGAUAUUAUUGUUAAUAAUGAUAGUAAUAUUCUUACAUCUGAUCAAGAAUUUAUGAAUACAGUUAAAUUUAUAGAGGAAAAAUUGCUCAUCAAUUCAAAUGAUUAUGAAGCCAAAAUAAGUCAUCGUUAUUAUGAUGAAUUCAUUGUCAAAAUGAACAUUGAUUUCUACAUUAAUCCCGAUCCAAUAAAUCAAUCAUUCAUGUUGGAUUUGAUCUCAAGAUUUCGUUCGGUACAAAUUUUUCAAACAAAUUUUCGAAUCGUAAUGGAAUUUCCUCAUAAUUCUCUUCGUCAUCUAAUAAAAGAAUCGCCAAUUGAUGAAAUGGAUGAUUAUUCCGCAUCAAUGAAUUCAUUCUCCAUUGGAUCGGUUAUUAAUCUUUGCUAUUUUACUAGUCGAUUUAAUGCCAUUCCAUCGCAAUAUCAUCCACUGAAAAUGAUAUGGAAUUUUCAAAAAAAUUUAAUAAUUUUCUAUUUCCAUAUCCAAAAUAAUCGAACAUCCCAAAGAUAUAAAAUAGAAAUAUCAUUUUCAUCGAUUCAAUUCAUAUUGCUCGAGAUCAAUCAGUCAAUCAAUACACCAUGCGGUAUUGGUGUUUGUUUCGAAUUAAAUUCGGCUCCUUUAUUGUUCACAGAAAAAAUGUGUCGAAAUCGAAUAAAAUGGAUUCGUACCAAAGAUUUAAGCAAUAAUGUUGAUUCUAAUUUAAUUGGUUAUGCACAUGGAUAUCGUAUCACGAUAGAUGAUUUGAAUAUCAUAAAAACUACAAUCAAAUUAAGCUACCUGUGUAAAGAACGAACUCGAACUUUUGCUUUUUACAUAGGCAGAAUAAAUCAAAUCAUGCUAAAUAAUAGUCGAUGGACAAUGGAUCGAUUAUGGAACAAUAUUGAUCAAACUUUUGCCAAAAGUUUUGCCAGAAAUUAUGCUUGCCGUGUAAUUUUGAGAUCAUAUCGUAUUGUCGAUCGAGUUAUAUGUCGGCACGGAAUAUUGAAUGAAGAUAAUGUGAAGAAUUUUCUCGAAAAUAUCAAACAAUUAGAGUCGGAUUUGUAUUUCGAAAAUUGUCUAUAUCAAUUGGAUGUAAAAUCAAACAAUCCAGUUAUCGAUUUCAUUGCUGAAUUCAAUCGUAUCAUUCAGACUGUCGACACAAAUCGACCACAAGGAAUUAGUAUUUUUGGUAGUAAUGGCAAAAAAAAAUUGCUUGGACCAGAUCAAGAUCAUUAUAUUAUUAUGCGUCGAGCUAUCAUGACACCAACUCGAUUACAAUUUUUUCGUCCUAUCGCCUGUUUACGUUCACGAUUCUCAAAUAUUGCCAAUCUAGACUAUGCUUUACGAUUAACAUUGUCUGAAGAUAAUAAUCGUUUUUUGAACGGACCAUCCAGCAGCAGUGAAUUCAUUAAAGAAUGCAUUAUGCCACGAUUAUUGGCAGGCAUAAGAAUAGCAGAUCGUCAUUUUGAAUUUCUUGGUUCAUCAUCAAGUCAAAUGCGUGAAUCUGGUAUCGUAUUCUAUGCUCGUGAUACUGACAAUCGAACGGCCGAAUCGAUUCGUCAAAUAGUGGGUGAUCUAUCGAUUUUCAAACGAAAAGUAGCCAAAUACAUUGCACGAUUUGGAUUGAUAUUUUCACAAUCAAUUGCUUAUUAUCAAUGCGAUCAAUCAGUUGAUAUAUAUCGAUCAGCUGAUCUUACGAAUGGACCGUUUAUAUUCUCGGACGGUGGUGGUAUCAUAUCGAAUAGUUUGGCACGGAAAAUUACACCAUUAUUGAAUACACCACCAGAUUAUUUUCCAUCUGCAUUUCAAAUCCGUUAUGGUGGCUGCAAAGGAAUGCUUGUCCGUUAUGAAUCGAGUGAUGACAAUGAUAUGAUAAUGUUUCGUGAAUCAAUGAUCAAAUUUCAAUCGAAUGAUUUUUCAUUGGGUAUAUUGAAAUUUUCAGCACCAAGAUCUGUCUACCUGAAUCGGCCAUUAUUACAGAUUCUUUAUGAACAACAAGUACCGGCUCAUGUUUUCUACAACAUCAUCACCCAAUCGACAGAAUCAUUGGCGCAUUCAUUGAUGUUUGAAGCUAAUGCAUAUGAAUUAAUGAAUAUGUAUUCACAACGAAAUCUUAAUUACAACAAACUUCAUAAAGCCGGUUAUUCCUUCUUAAACGAACCUUUUCUUCGUCGAAUCCUGAAUCAUUUAUUAUUCUAUCGACUAAAUGAACUGAAAAGUAAAGCUCGAAUCAAAGUACCAUCAUCACAUGGUCGAACUGCAUUCGGUGUAAUAGAUGAAAUGAAUCAAUUGAAUCCUGGCGAAGUGUUUUUCCAAUAUAGUCAAUUGAAUGAUGUUGAUGGUCUACCUACUGGUGAAACAAUUAUUCUCGAUAAUCAAGAAGUGAUGGUCACCAAAUUUCCUUGUCUUUCAUUGGGUGAUGUGCGAAAAUUUAAGGCUAUCAACGUUAAAGGUUUGGAACAUGUCAAAGAUUGUCUCGUUUUUCCAGCAAAAGGACACAGACCUCAUACCGAUGAGAUGGGUGGUUCAGAUCUUGAUGGUGAUGAGUAUGCCAUCUUUUGGAAGACAGACCUAAUAUUUCCUGGAUCAAAUUAUCAUCCAAUGGAUUUUCCAUCACAAACAUCACCAGAAUCCGAUCGAGAUAUUGUUAUUGAUGAUAUUGUCAAAUUUUACUGUGAUUUUCUUGUCGAUAACAAUAUUGGUUUGGUCGCCAACUCACAUCUAAUGUUUUCAGAUUUCCAUCCUGAAGGUCUUUCUUCGUGCGAAUGUCUAGAUUUGGCUGCUAAAUACAGUGUAUCGUUAGAUUUCCAGAAAAAUGGUGUUAAUGCCAAAGUUGAAAACAAAUACAUACCGGAUUCGAAUUGGAUUCGUCCAGAUUUUAUGUCGAAACGUAAUGGUGAAUCUGAUGUUUAUUUAUCUACCAAAAUUCUUGGUAUAAUUUAUCGUCAUUGUUCAUUGAUGGAAGAUAUGAUACGUGCUUCAAACACAUACCUAAUGGCUAAUCAGGAAAAUCGAUUGGAAAAACCGAAUCCAAAUUUAAUACUAAAUUGUUGGCAAUUAUUCGAACAGGAAGCAAUGAAAGCAUAUGAUGAUUAUUGUCAUCUAGUAAUUGAUCAUAUGGAAAUGUUGGAUAUUGAAUCCGAAGCAACUUUGAUUAGUAAUGUUUUUGAAAAUAAAUCCGAAGCAGCCACCACAGUUCUUAAUGAUUUAUUCAAACAUUUUCAAAAAAUAUUCGAACUACAAGCACAAGGAAGAUCCGAUGAAGAACGAUUAUUAUUGAUAUCUGCAUGGUAUGCAAUUUGUUUUCAACGUUCCGAUCAUAUUCGUUAUCGAUAUCAUGAUGAACCAUUAUUUGGAAUGCCAUUUUUAGUGCCAGAUGAAAUGAUUAAUCUGAUUAGACAUGUUGAAAAAUCAACUGUUGCCAAUCCAGUUAUAUGCAUUAAGAUUGAAUUUGAACAUAUUGAAUUGACAUGUAUGAUUAUAUUGUUUUGGAUGGCACAAAUGAAUCGUAUAUUUAAACGUGGUGCAUAUCUUGGACAAUUGUUGAAAAUUUUUGAUCGUCAAAAGAAUAAAUGGUAUAGUACUACUGAACAUCAAUUAUUGAAAGGUAUAAUACAGGAACAAUUGAUCAUUAUUGUUGAUCAAUAUCAAGAAAUUGCCAUUGUUGAACCAAAUGAACAGACUCAUCAUCAAGUGGUUGCAUUUCUUUUUGAUCAAUAUCUUUUAUAUCUAAGUCGUUUAUUUAAUCAAUUGGAAUUAUUAAUCGACAAUUCAGAUUUGGAUCAUGUUUUUUUGCUAAAAUAUUCAUUGUUUGCUGUGAAUUUUAUAGAAAAAUUGAAUCGAAUGGAAAAUCCACCAAUGAACGCUGCCAUACUGCGUGAUAAAAUGUUUGAAUAUAAAUUGUUUCUAAAAUUAUUGAUUCGUAAUUUUCGAUUGGAAACACAAACCUGUGAAACGGUGGAAUUUGCCAUAUUAAAUGUUGAUCGAUGUCUAACAAAUGGUUGCCAUAGAAUUGAUUUUAAUCAGAAACAUUGUCUACUUAAACUUCGAUAUAUGGCUGGUAAUAUUACGGAAAUUUUUAUCCACAAAAACAAUGGAAUUUGUAUUCAAUCGUUGAUUCAAUCAAAAGGAAAAAAAAUAGCAACAAAUACAACCAAUACAAAUGAAUGGCGACAACAGCAAACAACACCGAUUGCAAAUAAUUUAACACGUUCAAAUGUUGAUUAUUUUAUUGUCAAAGUUUCUGGAUUUCAAACAUCAAUAUCAUUGUUGAAAUGUUUGCUGGGACAUCCAAAAUUGUAUCCAAACAUAAUGAUUGGUUAUCAAUUUAUUUGAAUCGAAUGUAUUAUUUGUCAUUUCCAAUUCGGCCGAUAGAUGGCGUAAUAUGUAUUUAAUUUUUAAAAUCGAAUGAUGGUCAUCAUUCUUUUUUUUUGUUUUGUAUUUUGUUUAAUAGCCAAAAUCGUUUUAUGUAAAUUUUUUUUUGCUUCAAUCACUUUAUGUCCAAAUGGUAGAUAUUCACUCACACACACACACAAACAUCGAUAAAAUUUAGCAAUAAAAGUUGGUAUAUACAUCAAAAUCGAACCAUACAAGUCGACGACCAUGACCAUCAUCAUCAAACAGUUUUAUGAGCAUGAUGUGUAAAGUGUAAACUAUUUUUCUAUUCUCUAUUUUUCUUUUUUGUUGAAUGGCCUGAAUCGAAUAUAGAGUGAAACAAAUUUGUUUAAUUCAAAAUGAUAGGCCAAUAAGCACGUAUCGGACGAGAGAGCGAGAAAGAGACAGAAAAAACGAACGGACUCGAUCUGAUGAAUGAAUGAAUGAAUGAAAAAAAAACAGUUCAGUACCCAUUGUCAUUAUCAUCAUCAUCAUCAUGGAUGAUGUUUAGCUCUCGACAAUAGUGUAUAAGUAAUAUAUACAAAUUGUAAUUUCAUAUUGGUGAAAACAAAAAAAAAAGAAUAAACGUUAAAACUAUUUUAACUAUUUUGGUUUCGAUGAUGAUGAUGACGAUGAUGACUAUUUC